rnacentral:ncRNA from 1 species
AUGCCGGGAGAGCGCCCGCUGGGGCCGCCGAAGGGGCUGAAACUCUCAGGUAAAAGGACCGGC